rnacentral:rRNA from 1 species
GACGAACGCCGGCGGCGUGCUUAACACAUGCAAGUCGAGCGGUAAGGCCCUUUCGGGGGUACACGAGCGGCGAACGGGUGAGUAACACGUGGGUGACCUGCCCUCAGCUCUGGGAUAAGCCUGGGAAACCGGGUCUAAUACUGGAUAUGACUCCAUGACGCAUGUUGUGGGGUGGAAAGCCUUGUGCGGCUGAGGAUGGGCCCGCGGCCUAUCAGCUUGUUGGUGGGGUGAUGGCCUACCAAGGCGACGACGGGUAGCCGGCCUGAGAGGGCGACCGGCCACACUGGGACUGAGACACGGCCCAGACUCCUACGGGAGGCAGCAGUGGGGAAUCUUGCGCAAUGGGCGAAAGCCUGACGCAGCGACGCCGCGUGAGGGAUGACGGCCUGUGU